CAAAAACAUGUCCUAUAGAAUAGAAUUUUAGGUCAAGCCUGCCCUGUGUUAAUAGUAGAUUAACGGCCGCAGUAUUUUGACUGUGCUAAGGUAGCACAAUAAUUUGCCCAUUAAUUGUGGGAUAGAAUGAAUGGCUUCACGAGAGUGAAACUGUCUCUGGGAGACAAAUCUGAAAUUUAACUUUUAGUUAAAAUGCUAAAAUUUGAUGGGGGGACGACAAGACCCUAGGAUCUUUACUUCUUUACUUUACCAAACUGUAAAGUGGGAAUUUACUUGGGAUGAGACAUAAACUGAAACUUUUGUGAGUUUAAAGAAAAAACACUUCGAAUAUAGUGAGCCUAGUUUUAUUAGGGUUAAAGGAAAAAGUUACCCUAGGGAUAACAGCGAAAUACUUUCUUGGUAGAACAUAUGCUUGGGGAGGGUUUCGACCUCGAUGUUGAAUUAAGGUGUAAUCUGGAGGUAGAAGGUCAGAUAGUUGGAUUGUUCAUCCAUUAAAACCUUACGUGAUCUGA
rnacentral:rRNA from 1 species